rnacentral:rRNA from 1 species
UACGUAGGGUGCGAGCGUUGUCCGGAAUUAUUGGGCGUAAAGAGCUUGUAGGCGGUUUGUCGCGUCUGCUGUGAAAAUCCGGGGCUCAACCCCGGACUUGCAGUGGGUACGGGCAGACUAGAGUGUGGUAGGGGAGACUGGAAUUCCUGGUGUAGCGGUGAAAUGCGCAGAUAUCAGGAGGAACACCGGUGGCGAAGGCGGGUCUCUGGGCAGUAACUGACGCUGAGGAGCGAAAGCGUGGGGAGCGAACAGG